rnacentral:rRNA from 1 species
AAUGAACGUUGGCGGCGUGGAUUAGGCAUGCAAGCCGAGCGGAAAGGCCCGCAAGGGCACUCGAGCGGCGUAAGGGACAGUAAUGUGUAGGUACGUACCCUGGGUCUAGGAUAGCUGCGGGAAACUGCAAUUAAUACUAGAUGAUGUCUCCGGACCAAAGGUGUGAUUCCACCCAGGGAGCGGCCUACAUCCUAUUAGCUAGUUGGUGAGGUGACGGCUCGCCAAGGCGAAGAUGGGUAGCAGGUGUGAGAGCACGACCUGCGUCACUGGGACUGAGACACUGCCCAGACACCUACGGGUGGCUGCAGUCGAGAAUCUUCGGCAAUGGGCGAAAGCCUGACCGAGCGACGCCGCGUGCGGGGAUGAAGGCCUCGGUUGUAAA